AAUUGGCAAGGACUGAUGUCAGAUCAUGAGAAAAAAAUGUCUCCAGAAUGUGUGAAUGAAGAGUUCUAUUUCUGUUAUGUUGAGACAUAUGAACUUGUGCCUCUACCUGAUUGUGGUAAAAGAGUAAUAUGUGAAAUCCAAAUGAGGCACUGUAAGGAUUACAGUGGCAAUCAUGAGUCAAUAAGCAGCACCCAUGAUUUUAAUCAAUAUGGAGGGUGUGCACAAUUAUCAAAAGAUUCAAAACCGACUAAUGAUUAGAAAAUCUCCUGAUUAAUGUGCAGGAACGUUUCCUCCUACAACCAAUGGCAAAGGAUGCAGGCACCACAAAAUGCAACUACACUUGUGACAAUAAAGGACAUGUAAAUGUUUCAUAAAGAAAAAAAGCUUCUGUAAAUGGACACUCUGACAGACUUGGAGAAGGUCUGAUUCGGCUUUCAUCUCAGUGACUCAAUUAUUUAAUCUUUAAAUAAUUGAGUUGAUAAGCUAGGUUUUUCAACAAUAGUGUGAACACGAGGAGGAUCCCAGCAACUGCAAAGACCUAAAGUUUCAGGUGAACAGAAGGAUUUCAUUUUUAUUUUACAUUCCAAUAAUAUGUAUGUAAUUCCUUUGUCAUUGAGUAGGACAUUGCAGCACAUUACCAGUCCAUUUUCUCGCUCCUUGCGCAACCUUGGGACUUCAUCUGCUUUGGCAC